rnacentral:rRNA from 1 species
AUUGAACGCUGGCGGCAGGCCUAACACAUGCAAGUCGAGCGGAUGAAGGGAGCUUGCUCCUGGAUUCAGCGGCGGACGGGUGAGUAAUGCCUAGGAAUCUGCCUGGUAGUGGGGGAUAACGUCCGGAAACGGGCGCUAAUACCGCAUACGUCCUGAGGGAGAAAGUGGGGGAUCUUCGGACCUCACGCUAUCAGAUGAGCCUAGUUCGGAUUAGCUAGUUGGUGGGGUAAAGGCCUACCAAGGCGACGAUCCGUAACUGGUCUGAGAGGAUGAUCAGGCACACUGGAACUGAGACACGGUCCAGACUCCUACGGGAGGCAGCAGUGGGGAAUAUUGGACAAUGGGCGAAAGCCUGAUCCAGCCAUGCCGCGUGUGUGAAGAAGGUCUUCGGAUUGUAAAGCACUUUAAGUUGGGAGGAAGGGCAGUAAGUUAAUACCUUGCUGUUUUGACGUUAACAACAGAAUAAGCACCGGCUAACUUCGUG